CAGUAGCGUAUAUUAAAGUUGUUGCAGUUAAAAAGCUCGUAGUUGAAUUUCUGGCGGGCGCGCCGGUCUUCCAAGUGUUGUACUGGGCGCAGUCCGCCAUCCUUGUGGAGAGGGCUCGCAUUGAGUUGCGUGUCGGAUCUGCAUCAUUUACUGUGAAAAAAUUAGAGUGUUUAAAGCAGGCUGUCGCUUGAAUACAUUAGCAUGGAAUAAUAAGAUAGGACUUCGGUCUAUUUUGUUGGUUGCGAACCGAGGUAAUGAUUAAUAGGGAUAGUUGGGGGUAUUCAUAUUUAAUUGUCAGAGGUGAAAUUCUUGGAUUUAUGAAAGAUGAACAACUGCGAANGNAUUUACNAAGGAUGUUUNCGUUA
rnacentral:rRNA from 1 species